AGUGAACGCUGGCGGUAGGCCUAACACAUGCAAGUCGAACGGCAGCACAGUAAGAUCUUGCUCUUACGGGUGGCGAGUGGCGGACGGGUGAGGCAUACAUCGGAAUCUACUUUUUCGUGGGGGAUAACGUAGGGAAACUUACGCUAAUACCGCAUACGACCUACGGGUGAAAGCAGGGGAUCUUCGGACCUUGCGCGAUUGAAUUAGCCGAUGUCGGAUUAGCUAGUUGGCGGGGUAACGGCCCACCAAGGCGACGAUCCGUAGCUGGUCUGAGAGGAUGAUCAGCCAAACUGGAACUGAGACACGGUCCAGACUCCUACGGGAGGCAGCAGUGGGGAAUAUUGGACAAUGGGCGCAAGCCUGAUCCAGCCAUGCCGCGUGGGUGAAGAAGGCCUUCGGGUUGUAAAGCCCCUUUGUUGGGAAAGAAAAGCAGCAGGUUAAUACCCCGCUGUUCUGACGGUACCCAAAGAAUAAGCACCGGCUAACUUCGUG
rnacentral:rRNA from 1 species